rnacentral:rRNA from 1 species
GACGGGGGGGCAAGGUGUUCUUCGGAAUGACUGGGCGUAAAGGGCACGUAGGCGGUGAAUCGGGUUGAAAGUGAAAGUCGGCCAAAAAAGCUGGCGGAAUGCGUCUCGAAACCAAUUCACUUGAGUGAGACAGAGGAGGAGUGGAAGUUUCGAUUGUGUAGGGGUGAAAUCCGAUUGAUAUCAUGGGGAACACCAAAAGCGAAGGCAGCACGACUGGCGCAUUCCUGACAACUGAAACACUAAAGCGUGGGUAGCGAAGUGGG